CGCCUUUUGUAAUAUACACAUAAAAGGUCCUGCCUGCCCAAUGACUUGUUUUAAUGGCCGCGGUAUUAUGACCGUGCAAAGGUAGCGUAAUCAUUUGUCUUCUAAAUAAAGACCAGUAUGAAUGGCAAAACGAAAGCUUCACUGUCUCCCUAGCCUAAUCAAUGAAAUUGAUUUCCCCGUGCAGAAGCGGGGAUGUAAAUAUAAGACGAGAAGACCCUGUGGAGCUUAAAACUUUGUUUUAGGUUGGGGCGACCAUGAGGCAUAAUGCAACCCUCACGACGAAAACAAGAAGGACACUUCAAACAUUGACCCAAUAUUUGAUCAACGAACCAAGUUACCCCAGGGAUAACAGCGCAAUCUACUCAAAGAGUCCAUAUCGACGAGUGGGUUUACGACCUCGAUGUUGGAUCAGGGCCCCCAAACAGCGCAACAGCUGUUAAAGGUUCGUUUGUUCAACGAUUAAAGUCCU
rnacentral:rRNA from 1 species